rnacentral:rRNA from 1 species
GCCUGUGAAAUGAACCUAAGUUCACCUCUGUUCACUCCCACAUGCCCCCAACAAACCCCCAUGUAGAUAAACAGGAGUUAUUUAAAGGAGGUACAGCUCCUUUAAAAAAGAAUACAACCCCCCACAGCGGAUAACCCCUCCCACAAAUUAUCACUGUUGGCCUUCAAGCAGCCACCAACAAAGAGUGCGUCAAAGCUCCCUGACAAAAGAUACCACAACCAUGUGAAUCCCUACCCAAUAACAGGCCAACCUAUCCCGAUAGGAGAAUUAAUGCUGAAAUAAGUAACUAGGGCUCAUCCCUCUCAAGCGCGAACUUACAUUCAACAUUAUUACCCAAGACAUGAUACCCACACCUCCCACGAGUACACCAUAUCCCUCAUAACCCUGUUACACCAACCCAGGAGCGCACAAUAGAAAGACCUAAAUCUGUAGAAGGAACUAGGCAAACCCAAGGCCCGACUGUUUACCAAAAACAUAGCCUUCAGCAUACCAAGUAUUGAAGGUGAUGCCUGCCCAGUGACCUCACGUUAAACGGCCGCGGUAUCCUA